UCGGAUUGCGGCGACGUGGGCGGUUCGCUGCCCGCGACGUUGUGAGAAGUCCACUGAACCUUAUCAUUUAGAGGAAGGAGAAGUCGUAACAAGGUUUCCGUAGGUGAACCUGCGGAAGGAUCAUUG
rnacentral:rRNA from 1 species